UGAUCUGUGCUCUGAGGUGUGAUCUGUGAUCUAAGGUGUGAUCUGUGCCCCGAGGUGUGAUCUGU